ensembl:lncRNA
CUGUUUCAGAGCCUCUGAGGUCUUCAGGAGGGAUCUGCCCUUUCUCCUGCCAAUUGGGUGCCCGCAGCCCAAGGGCAGCCUUGCAGCGCUCAGGCAGGGGCUCGGCGGCCUUGGCAGACCCUGCCCCUGCAGCAAGACUGGAGCUCUGGGCAGCGGAGGGUGGUCUGCUCCUUUCGGGCCUCUUUGCCAGGCACCGGGGUGUGAGCGGCAGAGCUGGGGCACGCUUGGCAUUCUGACCCACCAAGGAUUCCGGCAGAUGCCAAGUCUCUGGUAUCAGGGGAAAUGACCUCAGAGCUUUGGCUGAAGCUGGCAGGCCACUGCCCAGACUUAAAGGUCCCUGGCAGGCACCUGUCACCCAAGUUGGAUGGUCUCUUGUCCUCCCCCUGCCUCAGACCUUCCAGAAGGGAGCAGAAGAUUCUGGGAAAGAAGCCUGGCUUCUAGGAGAGGGUGAGACCUCAGAAUUUCAAAGCCCCUUUUGUGAUUGUUUGGCUCCCAGAAGUCUGAAAACAGUUUUCCUCUUGGACCAGUGGAGGAAAAGGAGACCUGCUGGGUGGGCAUGGGCAGCUUGCGGUGGAGAGGCCUGAGCAAGAGCUCUCGCCAUCAGAGGGCAAUCACCGCCGCCCCGAGGGCGAGACACCGAAGUCACCGAAGUCAGGGUUGCUGUUGGUGCUGGCACACCUUCCAGGGCCCUCACCUCCUGCCUUUCCCUCCCCUGAGAGCAGCGUGGAACAGUUCUGUCACGCCCUCAUUUUACAGCUGAGGAAACUCAGGGUCAGAAAGGUGGUUUGUGACCCAUCCAGAACCAGAACCAAAGCUAGCCGGGGCAGAGCUUGGCCUCAGAUGCGUGUUUUCCAAUUUUUCCACCAUAACCCUGAGCCCUGAGACAGCCAUCAGCCAGUUCCUUUAAAAGAAGUCACACUGUGGGUGUGCUCACUUGUAAAUUCUUUCACAGGGCCAUUUAUGUAUUCAUUCAUUCAUCACCAACAUUUACUAAGCACUUUCUAUGAGCCCAGCUCUUGGCUAAGGCCGAGGAGGACCCAAAGGUGGAGAAGGCCUAGUUUCCACCUCAGGAGGAGAAGAAUUUGGGGAUUAGGGAAAAAGAGGAAUGGGUCCUGAACACACAGCGGAGGCUGAUGACGCUGGGAUGCAAGUAGGGAUAGCCAACCUGUGCCUGGGGAGCUGCCAGGGUCGGGGGGUGUCCAGAUGGGCUUCCUGGGGGAAGAAAGGGCUCUGUUUGGGAGCUGUGAAGACCCUUCUUCUUGAGGGAUGAAUUAGGCAACAGGCCUCAGCUCCCUGUUGGCACCAUGCAGGCUGACGCUGGGGCUCUGAGCAGCGCUGCUGGCGCCCAGAGGCGUGUGAAGAGGAAGCCGUGGGCGCUGCUGCAGUGCACACGUACCCUGCUUGGCUGGAGUGGAAUCUGUUCCAGUCAGCCCAGGAUCGGCUCUGAGGAGCAAAGCAUGGUGGGUCCCUGGUCAGGGCCCCGGGUCAGGCCCCUGGCCGGGGGGCAGUCCAGAAGCCUUUUCUUUCCCUGCAGCCAUGUGUGGGUUCUCUGCCCAAGGCAGAACGGAAGCUGGCUGGUUGCUCCAAAUGCCUGCCCUGCUGGACCGUCUUUAAUGCCCCAGUUUCUUCCUAAAUAACAUUACUUUGUGAAGGAGGCCAGGAAGCAGUGCAUGUACGUAUGUGUGUGUGUGCGCGCACCAAGAAGAGCAGGGGCAGACCCACCUCUCCCUUCGAAGAUAGUCCUUCCAAUGACUGCCUCUAACUCAGCAGACCCUCAGGAGGGACCGUGCGGCCAAACGCAGAGAACGCCGUGGAGGUCAGGCCACCUCUGGGCAAGGCUGGCCCUGCUGCUUACCACCUUUGGGGAUUUGGGGAAAGUCACAUCUCUCUGAAGUUCAUUUUCCUCCUCUGUAAAAUGGGGAUACAGUCAUGUCUGCCUCAUGGGAAGAGGUGUGAGUUUUUCAUGAGAUAAUGUCCAUUAAGUGACUGGCACACAGUAGGUCCUCACAAAUGGCAGCAAUUACCUGGCCAGGUAGAUCACACAUUUGAGCACUCAGGAAACGUCUGAAGAAUGAACCAAACAUUUUUCCUUUUUCUUUGCUUUCUCCGAAUAUUUGUUCUUUUCCUAAAAAGCUAAUUGGGAUCGGGAAGCUCUGAUGCUUGGAAACAAGCAAGGAGGCCAGACUGGGGGCAGGGAGCGUGGCUGCUGUGUCCUCGGGGGGCUUGAUCUGCCCAAGCUAAGCGCAAGGCCUGAGUGCGCAGCUGGGCCUGGAAUCCCGGGACAGCUCUCCAGGGGUCCUGGGCUAGUGGGCUUUUCAGUUACUUGCCCUUUCUGAUAGCAGCAUAUCUCAUUUAAAAAACAACUUUAUUCUGUUUUUAUUAUAAAAGUAGUUAGGUUCAUUAAAAUGAAAGCUUAUAUUGGGCUCAUGGUAUAACAGGCACUGUUCUAACACGUCUUAAUUUAUUGAAUCUGCACAAUAAUUUUACAAGGUAUCAUGAUUUUCCCUAUUUUGUGGAUAAAUAAAUCGUGACACAGAGAGGGGAAGUAACUUUCCCAGAGCCACUCAGCUAAGAAGGAACAGAGCUAGCUGGCUCCAGAGUCCCCGCUCUUACCCACGAUGCUAUCAUGCCUUACUGUGCACGUGUGUGAAAAUGCAGGUAAGUAAAAGUAAGUUAAAAAUAACUAAUAUUCUUAAUAUCCAGGCAUUCUUUCCGUUAUUGCUAACCGUAUAGUGAGGAGUUACACAACGAGUGAAGCCAGGCAAACACAUUCAAAUGCUGGCUUCACUGUUUAUGGGCAGCACGACGUUAGCUUAGAAAGCAGGGAAAAAUACUUUCAUAACCUUCGGGAUGGGGAAGAUGUUUCUUAGCAUUGAUCCCGAAGACAGAAAACAAAGGGAAAAAUGGACAGAGGUUACAUAUGACAGUUAAGAAUGUCUGUGUGACAUGGAGCACAAAACAACAUGUAAAAUCCAAUGUCAACAAAAAUAAUAGUUGCUUCAUAUUUGAUAGAAACACAGUUACUGUCUUUACUGUAUAUGCACAACUCUUUGAAAAUUAGUAAGAAGUUGACCUCACUAAGAAUGGGAGAUUCUACGAAAGAGCUACAGAUGACCAGUAAAUGUAUGUUCAACCUUACUAUGGUCAAAGAAAUGAUCAUUAAAAUGAUGAAAAGUUAUUUUCAUACAUCAGAUUCAGCAAGGAUUCAAAAGACGGACAAGAGGCGGUGUUGGCGAGGGUUGGGGGGAGAAGAUGCUCGCCUAGAUUGCGGCGGGAUAAAGGCCCACAGCCUGUCUGCAGACAAGUUGAUCACAUGUAUCCAAAUCCUUAUCCACAUGUGCAGCUUUUGACUUAAUAUUUUAAUGCUAAAUAAUUUAUUCUAAAGAAAAAAUGUCAAAUGGAAAAGAUGUAUGUGCUAGAAUAUGCGCUGGGACAUUUUUAAUAAAAGCAAAAGUUGAAAACAACUUAAAUGCCCUUUAAAAGGUGAUUUAUUAUGAAAAAUACUGUAAAGCUACGGAGCAGAUUAUUAUACAACUGCUGAAGAGGAUAAGGUGGAGUUAUAUAUGCUGAUAAGGGAAAACGUCUAGGAUAAACUGGAAACGCAAAUUGCAGUAUGUGGUCUUCUUUCGGAGUAAGAGGGUCUCCCAGCUGAGCCCUGCCUGGAUUUUGAUUUUGACUCUUCAUUCAGCUGGUUUUCUGGUAUUCGCAGAAGUUGAAGUGACUGGCAUGCCAUCUGGUAAAUACGAGAGAGAGGUCCCUUUGGAAACGCCGAGAAAGAGUCGGGGAGGCAGAGGCUUUGAGACAAGGCUCACGUCCCAGCCUGUGUAAGUAAAGGGCAGCAGCAAAGAUUUGGGGUGUUUUUGCGCAUCUAUAACUGUAUUUAUAGGCUUAUUGAAGAUUGGUAUGUAGAAGCUACAUUCAUUAAAAAGUAAAUACAUUGAACAUAAACAUAGAAAACGUACAACUUGACGAAUUUCCACAAAGUGAGCACGCUCAUGUAACAGCCAUUCAGAUAGAUUACUAGAAGAGGCGCCCGAAGCCCCUCUCACGCCCCCCUCAGCCACUCUGCUCUCCUCUGAGAGGACCACUCCUCUGACUUCUAAUAUCAGAAAUGAAUUUGACCUGUGUUUGAACUGUACAUCAACGGAACCAUAAAGUAUGCACCCUUCUAUGUUUAGUUUCUCUCACUCAACAUUGUGAGAUCCAUCUGGGUGAACUAGUGGUUUCUUCGUGCUUGUUUCUGUAUAGCAUUCUUUUUCGUCUUCUCUCUCCUCUCCUUGAUAACUGUUGCGCUGGCUAAGACUUCUACUACAAGGUUAAACAGGAGUGGUGAGAAUAGGCAUCUUUGUUCUGAUCUCUGUAGACUGCUUUUAAUAUUUCACCAUUAAGUACAAUAUUUGCUGUAGAAUUUUAAAAUUUGAGGUGAAAUUCACGUAACAUAAAAUUAACUACUUUCAAGUGAACAAUUUAGUGACAUUUUGUAAUUCACCACCACCUCUAUGUAGCUCCAAAACAUUUCUAUUAGUCCAAAAUAAAACCCGGUACCCACUAAGCAAUUACUCCCCGUUCCCCCAAAACCCCCACCUCUGGCAACCACCACUCUACAUUCUGUCUCUAAAUCUAUGGGUUUAUCUGUCCUGAAUAUUUCAUAUAAAUGAAAUCACAAAAUAUGUUAUCUUUUGUGUUUGACUUCUUUCACUUAGCAAGACAUUUUCAAGAUUGGCCCAUGUUGUAGCGUCUAUUGGUACUUCAUUCCUUUUUAUGCUGGAAUAAUAUUCCAUUAUGUGCUAUACCACAAUUAAUUUUUCCAGUCCUCUGUUGAUAGACGUUUGAGUUGUUUUCAUCUUUUUGGCCACUGUGAAUAGUGCUGCAAUGAGCGUUCAGGUAUGAGGAUGUGUUUGGGUACUAUUUUCGAGUUUUUGGGGUAUGUACACAGCAGUGGAGUUACUGGGCCAUCGGGCAAUUCUAUGUUUAACCACCAAACAGUCUUUUCUUAUUUUUUGAGGAAUCAUCAACCUGUUUUCUGCAGCAGCUGAAACAUUUUACAUUCCCCCCAGCAGUGUAUUCCAGUUUCUCCACAUCCUCAUCAACACUUGUUAUUUUCCACAUUUUUGGUUAUAGGCAUACUCUUGGGUGUGAAGUGUGCUGUAGAUUUUUUUUAACAUAUUCUUUAUCAGAUUAAGAGUUCCCCUCUGUCAUGACAUCACUUCGUAACAUUCUUGACAAAACUGUAUAACCUCAAUCUAAUCACGGGAAAAUAUCAGACAAACGCACGUUGAGGGACGUUUUACAAAAUGAACUACUCUUCGAAAGUGUGAAGGUCAUGGAAGACAGAGACAGGCUGAGGCACGGUCUCAGAGUGGAGAAGAGUAAGCAGACAUGACAAGUAAAUGCAGGGCGGGUCCUGGCUUGGAUCCUGGAUCAGAAGAGGACGUGAAUGAGAAAACUAGCAAGAUUUGAAUAAUGUCUAUAAACCAGUUAAUCAUACAUGUCAAUGUUAAUAUCCUGGUUUCGAUAAUUACACUAUGGGGAUGUAAGAUGGUAAGAUUGGGGGAAGUUGUGUUCAGAGAAUACAGGAACUUCCUGCACUCUUUUUGCAACUUUUCUGUAAGUCUAAAAUAAUUUUUUUAAGAAAAAAGAAAAAAUGUUUCCUUCUAUUCCUAAUCUGCUAUGUGUUUAUUGUGAAUGGGACUGAAUUCUAGCAAGUGCUUUUUCUAUAUAUAUCUAUGUUUUGUGUGAUUUCCUCCUUUGUUUUACUAAUACACUGAGUGAUAGUGACAGAUUUUUAACUGUUGGCCUGACCCUUUGCUCCUGGAAUAACCUCACUUGGUCUUGGUCUGUUACCCUUUUUAUAUGUUGCUAGAUUAGAUUUGCUAUUUUCUUGUUUUAGAUUUUUUUUGCCCAUCUAUGUUUCUGAGAAAGAUUGGUGGAUAAUUUUCCUUUGUUGUAACGUCCCUGUCAGAUUUUGGGAUUAAUUUUAUGUGAUCUCAUAACACAUGUUGGGCAAUGUUCCUUCACUUAUUUUCCAAAAGAGUUUUUGUAUGCCUGGUGUUAUUUCUUCUUUACAUGCUUGGUAUAUCACCGAGGAAGCCAUGUGGGUCUGGAAUUGUCACUGUAGGAAGGGUUUUAACUACACAUUUGAAUUCUUUGCUCUUUUUUGGUGAGGAACAUUGUCCCUGAGCUAACAUCUGUGCCCAUCUUCCUCCACUUUGUAUGUGGGAUGCCACCACAACAUGGCUUGAUGAGCGGUGAGUAUGUCCGUGCCCAGGAUCUGAACCCAUGGACCCAGGGCAGCUGAAGAAGAGUGCGCAAACUUAACCACUACACCACCAGUGUGGAAUCAGGUCUCACCCCCAAGGAUCUGGAGCCGAGCCCAGUACCGGAGGGGUGUCAGGCUGAGCUGACUGAGGAUGCUGGCACGUCUGAGAUCAGCAGAUGCUGGGACGGAGGACCCCCCACCUGCUAGGAGCGUGAGGCAUCAGGGGCCCAGCCAAACACCACAUUGUUGUGGAAAAGCACUGAACAGCGUCUGCAACGCGAUUAGCUGGUUAGCUCCCCGGGAUCCUCUUUCGUUUGUCUUACGGAGCCCAAUCGUGUGGUUCGGAUGUGCUGGACGCUCCGGCUCCAAUAAAGACAUCAGUGACUGUGAAUAAAUGAACGUUUGCAUUUCCAAGU